rnacentral:rRNA from 1 species
UACGUAGGGUGCGAGCGUUGUCCGGAAUUAUUGGGCGUAAAGGGCUCGUAGGCGGUUUGUCGCGUCGGGAGUGAAAUCACUGGGCUUAACCGAGUGCUUGCUUUCGAUACGGGCAGACUUGAGGCAUUGAGGGGAGAACGGAAUUCCUGGUGUAGCGGUGAAAUGCGCAGAUAUCAGGAAGAACACCCGUGGCUAAGGCGGCUCUCUAGUACGGUACUGACGCUGAGACGCGAAAGCGUGGGGAGCAAACAGG